AUUGAACGCUGGCGGCAUGCCUUACACAUGCAAGUCGAACGGCAGCGGACCUUCGGGUGCCGGCGAGUGGCGAACGGGUGAGUAAUAUAUCGGAACGUACCUUUCAGUGGGGGAUAACGUAGCGAAAGUUACGCUAAUACCGCAUAUUCUGUGAGGCAGGAAAGCAGGGGAUCGCAAGACCUUGCGCUGAUUGAGCGGCCGAUAUCAGAUUAGCUAGUUGGUGAGGUAAAGGCUCACCAAGGCGACGAUCUGUAGCGGGUCUGAGAGGAUGAUCCGCCACACUGGAACUGAGACACGGUCCAGACUCCUACGGGAGGCAGCAGUGGGGAAUUUUGGACAAUGGGCGCAAGCCUGGAUCCAGCCAUGCCGCGUGAGUGAAGAAGGCCUUCGGUUGU
rnacentral:rRNA from 1 species